UUCUGUGGUUGCAUAUACGUGUUGUCCAUUAUUUUCAAGUACUAACGUUUAAUUAUUUAUUUACAAGAUACAUCGCAACACGAAGUGUUCUGUGCGUGAAGUGUGUUACAAUUGAUGUUGUGGCUGAUUAAUUUCCACUAGUGGUGUAUGGAAUAAUUUGAUCGACGCGAACUAUUUUGUGACUUAUGGACCUUCGUUUCUCUGGAUUCUUUUGCUACCUCAUAAAUUGUUUACAAGUUGUUCGCGCUGCUUUGCGACUAAGCAGAGCUUGAAAAACGUGCUAUUCGCGCUAGGAAUACAAUUUCCUUUUCAGGAGUCGUCCGCAAGCAUCGGAUGGACGUGAUGCAUCUUUACUAGAGGCAUUUGCACGUUUUAUAACCUGACAGACAACACAUCCGAAGUUUCAUCUUUAUCAUGUCAUUGCAUCUUUGACAAAGUAUUAUCGAUCUAGAACAAAUAAAUGCGUGUCAAGAUGUGGUCAUCACAAGGUAAUAACUCAAACUCAAAUGCAUCAUCCAAAGAAGAAAAGAACCUACGUACAUUGGGCAUGACAUCUGCUAUUAGUGUAGCAGAACCAAAGCCCAGUGAUUUUACUAGGACCAAUGAAUUAAAGGAGGCAUUAAAGCCAUAUAAUGUAUUUGAGUCUGAGGCAGAGUUAAAUCACAGGAUGGAAAUUUUAAGUAAAUUAAACACACUGGUGAAACAAUGGAUACGGGACACAAGUAUUGCCAGAAAUAUGCCAUCCAGCGUAGCUGAACAAGUUGGCGGUAAAAUAUAUACUUUCGGUUCAUAUAGGUUAGGGGUACAUCACAAAGGUGCUGAUAUAGAUGCUCUAUGUGUUGUACCACGGCACAUCUAUAGGUCGGAUUAUUUUGCAUCGUUUUUUGAAUUACUGAGAAUGCAAGAAGAAGUUACAGAUUUAAGGGCAGUAGAAGAAGCAUUUGUACCAGUAAUAAAAAUGAAUUUUGAUGGUAUUGAAAUUGAUAUGCUGUUUGCCAAACUAUCACUUAAAGAAAUACCUGAUUCAAUGGAUCUUAAGGAUGACAUGCUUCUCAAAAAUCUUGAUCAAAAAUGUGUAAGAAGCCUUAAUGGUUGCAGAGUAACAGAUGAAAUACUACGUUUAGUACCUAAUAUAGAAAAUUUUAGGCUGGCACUUAGAGCCAUUAAGUUGUGGGCAAAACGACAUGGAAUAUAUAGUAAUGUAUUAGGCUAUCUAGGUGGUGUGUCUUGGGCAAUGUUGGUUGCUAGAACAUGCCAACUUUAUCCUAAUGCUGUUGCAGCAACAUUAAUAGAAAAAUUUUUCCUUGUAUUUUCACAAUGGAAGUGGCCACAACCAGUGCUUUUAAAGCAACCUGACAAUGUUAAUUUAGGCUAUCCAGUUUGGGAUCCCAGAGUGAAUAUAUCAGAUAGAUAUCACUUAAUGCCAAUAAUCACUCCGGCGUAUCCUCAACAAAAUUCAACUUUCAACGUAUCAGUAUCAACAAGAACAAUUAUGCAAGAGGCAUUCGAAAACGGACUUUCGAUAACAGAAGAAAUUAUCAUGGGGAAAGCAACGUGGGAUAAAUUAUUUGAACCUCCAAAUUUCUUUGGAAAAUAUAAACAUUAUAUUGUACUAUUGGCGAGAAGUUUGACUGCCGAAGAUCAGCUUGAAUGGUGUGGACUUGUGGAGUCUAAAAUACGACAUUUGAUAGGUACUCUGGAAAGAAAUCCACACAUUACAUUGGCACACGUGAAUCCGGAGGCAUUUCCACCGUUAAAACCAGAACCGGAGGGACACUGCUCCAUGUGGUUUAUCGGCUUGUUAUUUGCUAAAAGCGAAAAUUUAAACAUCGAUCUAACGUAUGAUAUAAAAUCGUUCGUGGAUUCAAUUCUGAGGCAAGCGGAACAAUUGAACUUGUUAAAAGAUGGUAUGUGGAUUGAAGCAAAACACGUGAAGAGAAAGGAUCUUCAUACUUAUGUAUCUCCUAGUUUGCUCAAACGAGAAAGAAAAAUUUCUGGCAAUGUACAUAAAAACGGAAAUAUUGCUGGGAACGGUAACACUGGUGGCGUUUCUCCACGAAACCAAGGGGAUUUGACGAACAGGAAGAGACUCUCCGACCAAAGCACAGACGCAUACGGAAAAAAGCGAAGGGUCACCGAUAAUGAGCAAGCAGUAGCCCAUGUAGGGAGAAGACGGGUCGCUAGUUGUUCAGUCUUGUGGGGAAGACAGUAAUUCCGGAUUUAGCUUGGAUGAAUACAAACAAACGUUGACAGCUACUAAGGAUGAAGGGCCUACUGGUGCAUCUACGGUAGCACAGGAAGGAUAUGUUUGCACUUGACCACUACAGGAUUACUACCUCACGUCGAUCCACAGAUGCUCCUCUGGGCCAUCUAGACUGUAAUCGCUUCUCAUGCAACCAUCCACUGCCCACUGUAAGUCCCCUGUUUCGUAAAAACAAAGCAACGUCAUGCGUUGGAGAAAACUACCCGUUGGAGUCAAUCGAUGCACGAUUAUGUGACAGACGCUCUAAUUUUAAUAUUUAUGAACAACAUCAACAGUCAAUGGAAACAAUUGGACAACAAUGGAAAAAAAGCCACUAACAAAUGAUUGUGCCAGUGUCUGUGAUGUUACUUUUUUUAUCAUAAAAAUCGCGUUGGUCAUUUUGGAAAGUCGCGACCGAAGAGUUAGUAAUAACCAAAUGGAGCAUUGCUAUGUCUCUAAGGUACAUAAUUUUUUUAUAUUUCAUUUUGUACAUAUUACUUAUAAUAAUUUUUAUCCAUAAAAUUAUUGAAAAAAAGAAAGAAAAAAAUUAAAAUAAAAGGAAAAAAGAUAAAAGAGACACGGUGUCAGGUUUAGGAAAAUAAUUCGUGUCAUUGCGCUGAAAUGUGAAUAGGUAAUGAUAUUUUGAUUAAAUGCUUCUAUUAGGAUUUUCAGCUAAAUGAAAAGAAAAGGGAAGAAAGAAAAGAUUCGAUGUUGCGAGAAAGAAACGUAUUCUUGUAUAAAAAGCAUUUCUUUAAUGCAUAAGUAGAUAAGAGAUAAAAAAAAGGAUGUACGUUUCAGUUGUAAAUAAUUUAUGCAACAAAUCGUUACUCUCGCGUCGGUGUAAAUUAUAUGAAACAAACAGUGUCUCUUUAAGUUUGUAAGAGUAUAAUCGUAGUAUGAUAGUAGAUCUUAGUUUCUUUAAUUAUUUUAUAAUAUUUUUCAACUAUUUAUAUUAUCUAUACUAAACGGAUAUCUCUCCUGAAUAUUAGUUGCUGUACAAGCUUAAUUCUAAUAUAUACGGCAUUCUCUAUAUUUUUCACAUAAGAUGCCUGAAAAAAUUAUUUUUUUCUUUAUCGUAACCUAUCGAGUAACAGAAGGAAAAUCACCGGCACUGGCAUAAGAAAUUGAAUGUUUCAUUUACAGAAGAAUCAUCGAUUAUAGCAUUAAUUAGAUUCAAAUAUAUGGUUACUCAUAGUUAAUACUCUGUAAAUGAAACACCUGUAAUUAAGCCAUUGACUAUCUUUGUUAACGAUCGUGUUACGUAGAAGAUAUGUUUCGUAUGAAGAGUCGCUUUUUAGUUUUUAUUCACAGAAAACGAAGUUAUAGCUUUAACAAUGCAACAUGGGACUGGCAUCUGGAUUAUUCAAAUCAUCUAUAUCACCUAUUGGUGAGUUUUUCAGGUGUUCGACUGCCUUCAGUUCCCUUUCAGUUUAGAAUUAUAUCCUGUAAUGACCCCGAUUCUAUCUUUUUUAUCGUUUCAUUGCUUUCCUUUACGAAUUACCAACUGUGUUAAAGGCAUGUCGGUUAUUAACACACGUUUCGAGGUGUUUGAUGUUCACUCUUUAAUAAUAAUAAUAUAUGUAUAAGUAUCGAUACAAACGAUACAUUGAAACGUAUAGGUUAAUCUCAGAAACUAAGUAUUUGCAGGGUAAUCUUCGUGAUAUAUAUUUACAUACAAAUUAUGAUUUUUGUAUCGACUCGUGUAUUAAUAUCGCGACACAAAUUAAAUAGUUGUUUCUACAUUCAUACAAUUAUUAUCAUUUAUUUUCACACCAUAUUCUAUAUUUUUGUUUCAUAAGUCUUUUUCGAAAAUAUGUGAUUCGAUUAAGACUUAUUUCGAUACUCUGCGAAUACUAUAGUUACUUCUAUUGAGAUUAGGGACCAUUUCGUUAUUUGUACAUAUUCGUCGUAAUCUUGAGAUCAUUUCAUUUCCUUAUACGGCUUCUUUCCUCGUGUAUGGUUUACGUUGCGCCAAUUGAAGUGUAAAUGUAUAGUCGAGAAAUUAUGCUGUAUUAGAAAAUGGCUUUCCUUCAUUUUUUCCGUUAUAGCUUCAGUUAUGGUAUAGUUAGAAUAGUGUAUAAUAGGUAAGCAAUAUGUUAUAUUAUUUAUAGCGUAUUCUAUCAGUUUGUUAUGUUAUCCACUCUGUUCGAUUAAUACGAGCAUUCGAGAUUUUUACAGAUCUAGGCAAAUGUACAUAAAAAUUCCGAUUUACAUGUAAACUAAGAUUUUUUAAUCCAGAAUAAAAAUUUUUCUUACAGAAGAAAUAUGGACAAUCUAUUAUGCUUUCCGCUACGAAGGAUAUUAUUUAUUUUGCUGUUUAUAUGAAUUGCUUGCUUUAUCUGUAAAUAUUUCAUUCCGAUAUGAGAAUGGAUCUCGAUUCGAUGUUACACAUUUUAAUAUUUAAAAAAGAGAGAGAAAAAAAAGAAAAAAGAUAUUUAUAUCGUUAGUGAUUAAUAAUUUCUAUUCUGUAUUAAUUUUACAUUUCUUAGAUGUAACAAAGAUAAUAGAAACAAAGAGUUAUAUUUGCAAUAUUAUUUCGGACUCGUUUUACAAAAAGUUAUUUUCUUCUUUUGCUUUCGUAGUUGAACACAUUAAACUCUAUUCAUUAAUCUCAGCUUAGUGUUACAUUAGUGAACUAGAUUUAUUUUUAUCAGAUUUAACACUUGCGAAUUUUUUCUCAAUAUAAUAUUGAUCAAAAUUUGACAGCUAUUAUAUUUCUCGAUUUCACAGUAAAAUAUUAUUACAAAUCUAGUGGUAAUGAUCUUGGCCAGCAACUAUUUCAAUGUUGUAUCUAAAAAUAAUACUUUCUUGUGAUGAUUGAAUUACGAAAUAUCCUCGUAUUCUCGUUUAGCUUGAUAUUGCUAGUCUGAUAGUUGUUUUCAAAAACUGACCCCAAAGCAGUGAUAAAGUCAUAAAAAGCUCACAUAAUAUGCAGAGAAGUGCCUCACAACAUACUUACAUUUCGUAAUUAAUCGAUAGUUUAAGGAGACCCUCUAUAACGUAUAUCUGCUUUGAAAGUUACAUUUGUUUCAUUUGCUAUUUACUACACGAAUCUAUGUUACCACUGUAUUCUUACGACUUUACAAUCCACUUACAACAAUGGUCAGUUCCUAUUUCUUGAAUAAGAACGAAGGGUAUAAUCAAUUACAACCUUUAUCCUUAUAGACGAAUUAAAAUCCGGUUAUAGAGGGUUAGUAGUUACACAUUAAAUUUGUGUAAAAAUCUAUGUUUUUUAAUUUUUUUAAUAGAUGCUAGAUGUUUCUCGGUUGCUCGUUUGUCUUUUAAUAAAUAAAAUUUUUUAAUUGUCGUAAUACUACUCCCAUGGAUCGAAAAUAUAAAAUACGUUAUUUAUAUUUGACGUAAGUUCCUCUUUAAAUUCAGUUUCUUCCAUUUUUCGCCAUUUCAUAAAAUGGACUCGAAAACGACUAGUUAUCGUGCAAUACAUAAAUUUCUAAGAAUUUUCGACUGAUUCUUUGGUUAAACGUAGCGAUAAUCGAUUAGAAACUUUAAACGUAUACUUGAUCGGGAAAGGGAAAGUUACGAUUAUAGAGAAACAUUUUCUUUGAAAAAAUACACGUUUCGUGAAGCCAAGUGUGCGCUCGUAUAAAUUAGCGUUUCAAAGAGUUAGAAAUCGGCAUACCAAGCUUUGCGCGUAUUUUUUCUAACAAAAUCAUGUCUUUAAUCGAGACUUUUCCAUUGCUUAUUGAUAAUUCUGUUACUAAAUUAAUUUUCCAAGUUUGGACGCGACAGCAAAGAUUUUUCGAGUAUCUGUUAAGAUACGAUUAGAUUAAGUAUGGCAGCUUAUAAUGCUCAAUGAAAAUGCUCAGGAAACAAUUUUCUAUGAUUAAAUCGUAUUACAAUAUCAACGAAUUUCAUAGAAUAAUUAAAAGUUUCAUGCUGCUUAUACUCAAUGAAUAUUUUUUAAAUAGUCCAAACUUUUCUCAUUGAAUAGUUUUGUUCAGCAUUCAGUUUUUGAAAUCUCACACGACUUCUGGAAUUCCCAUUAUCUCUUUAUUACUAAUGUAGUUCUCAAUAAUAUUUACUAAUAUAAUUACAAAAGGAAAACGCUAUACUUUCGUGUAGUCAAUUUACUUAUUGUUAUUAUAGUUAUAAUGAUAGCAGUUGCUAUUUUCGUUAAUUAUCACUAAUAUUAUUAUUUAAUUUUUUGCUAUCGAAAUAGGACAUAUAACGAAGAACAAACGUACAUCGUAAUAGUUCAACGUUACCUAACAGAGAAAACACGCGAUUGCAAUGACGUGAAUAGUAUCGUGAGAUUUUACACAAUACUAUCAGGCAGAUUAAUAUAAGCAGUGAACAUCAAUAUUAUCCUCGCACGUAGUAACAAUAAGUGGAAGAAAAAAUUCUUUCGUUUCUUAGAAAAAGGAAGAAAAGAAAACGAAUGAGAUCGUGCACUCGAACUCCAUUCACGUAUUUUUUCGUUCUGAAACGUCAGACAUGUCUAUAACACAUUCGUAUAUUCUCGAUCAAUUCUCGAGAACGUCGUGUCGUUCUCUCUGUGUGUCGAUGCGACGUUCUCGAGUCGAUAAACGAAUAAAACAAUUAAAAAGCACCCCCAAAAAGCAAACAAAACGAGUAGAUAAAGAUAAAAAACGAAACGGUGAACACACCAUCCGUAGCACACCUCUCUCUUAUACAAUAUAAACGAAUAAACAAAAAAGAAACGAAAAAUUCGAAAAAAAUUGCCGAGGGCAAGACUAAGUCUAUCGUUUAGAAACGAGUGUUUCUGAGAGUGCGCGGAAUAGUAAAAAAUUUCAAAAGUUUCUCGACCGAUCUAGAAUUCUUCUCGGGCGUUGUCCUGUAUUAUAACUCUCUUUUUCUCUCUUUCUUUCUUUGUCCCUCUCUGUCUGUCUCUUUCUCUCGCUCUUUUUCUCUAUUUCUUGAACACAACGCGAAAAGAACUCAGAACGAAAGACAUUUAGUGAACUCUCGCUUCCAUUAACCGCAAACACACAGAGAACAGUACGCACGAAUACAUACAUAUAGUUCGAAAUAUACAGAGAACAGACAGAAUAUUGUACAUGAAGUAUCGUGUGUACACUUAACGUGCAUAUUCGUACACAGAAACACAUACACCAGAGGACCUCGUGCACAGGCAAACGCACGAUUUUAUACGGAACAUAAUUGUGGGAGGUAACCGCGAAUGCAUCUGCGAGGCUGCGUAUUAACAUGUGAACGUGUGAGUCAGUUUUGUCUGAAUGAAGAAAAAAAAAAGGAAAGAAAGAAAUAAACAGCAUCGAAUACAUUACCAUGUGUUUAUGUGCUUGUAUAGCAUACACAGGCUGUCACGAUAUACCGACCGACACGGUUCCGUUCCUAAAAAUCUCCAUGCACGCCCGUGCGAAUUGGUAUGGAUUUAAUUUUUAGUUAUCAAGAAUCGUACAUCACAGCCACAGGACACGCAUGUGAACGAACCGUUCUAAUCGUGGCGAAAUUCUUUUACGUUCUCCGUACCGACGAAGAAGUCGUUUUGUGCGAUAUGAUCAACUUUGAGAAAUAAAAAAUGAUAACCGCGAGGGAGGAAAGGGUGAAAAAGCGAUUCUCGAUAUACACUAACUUGCUCCGCUGGGAAUGAACACGAGCUAUUAAUAGCCGCUACCACGGAGUAUCGUUCGAACGCUUUAUUAUUUACCUGUAUUAUCGUUCCAUACUUAUCCUUUAACUUCUCUUUCCUUCUCUUUUUUCUUUUUUUAAUUUUAUAAUCACCAUGUAUUCGUUUAAAACAAAUUUAUCAGUAUAAUGUACCUUUGUUUACGACGACAUCUAGACGAUUCGGCCAUGACUGCUAAGAAUUCGCUCCAUACCAUCGUACACCGAGCAAGCAACUAACCAUCGUCUGGUUCGUUGUCCUGCGAUCGUAUAAGUCGCGGCCGUGUAUCUCUGUUCUGAAACGAAACGCGUGCAAAGCCUUUGCCGUCUGUUUCUUUUCCAUGUCUGAAUACCUCGUGGAGGAUCAGCCGUGUCUCUCAGGAUCGGCGUCAGAGGUACAUGACGAUGCACACUGUUACUUAAGUUCCUGCCACUGAAAGUGUACACACGUGCUGUAAACGUGCUUGGAUCGCAGCGGACCGUGUGGCGAGAGAUCGGUGUAUCGUGAAGGCCGUAUGCGCGUUAGCUGUUACUCCAUUCGUAGGAUCGAGGUCGUUUUAAAGAGAUAACACACGACGGCAGGGUCCACGUGCUUCGACCUGGCAAUAGGGACGAUUAUUUACCGUGAAGCACGAGUUAUAUGCAUAAUUUGUAUCCCCCUCGGCAGUUGUACACUCUGUAUCUUUCUUGAAUAAACCGAAAUAAAUUUUUCUUUUAAUUCCUUCAGCCAA